rnacentral:rRNA from 1 species
UACGGAGGAUCCAAGCGUUAUCCGGAAUCAUUGGGUUUAAAGGGUCCGUAGGCGGUUUAAUAAGUCAGUGGUGAAAGCCCAUCGCUCAACGGUCGGAACGGCCAUUGAUACUGUUAAACUUGAAUUAUUAGGAAGUAACUAGAAUAUGUAGUGUAGCGGUGAAAUGCUUAGAGAUUACAUGGAAUACCAAUUGCGAAGGCAGGUUACUACUAAUGGAUUGACGCUGAUGGACGAAAGCGUGGGUAGCGAACAGG